GACCUCACAACCAUCUGUAGCUGCAGUUUCAGAGGUCCAACACCCUCUUCUGGACUCUGGGCACCAGGCAUGCUCUGUAUACACCCAGGUAAAACCAUCCACACACAUAAAUGAAAGAGGAAAGAGAAGGGUGUGUGAGAGUGUGUUUACCAGCUUCGGUGGCUGGCAGUGGUUGUGCCAUCCUCUCCCAGGCUGCUGGCACCAAGAACUACAAGGUAGGUAGGUCUUGCCCUCUAGCUGAGGAAAUGGUGGGCUUACCAAGAGCAUGCUGUAAAGCAGCCAGACAGGCUGGGUAGCAAGCCCUAGAGACCCCAUGGAAAGGCCAGGAGGAGGAAUACUAGAGUAGUCUCAGCAGCUCUCAGAAGGCUCUAUGUUGACCUAAGCCAGCUAGAAAGUAAGAGACUGUGGAAAGGGCCACUCCCAGAGCCUCAGAACAGGCACCGGAACAAGGACAGGAAGGAGGGCCUGGAAAAUCUGAGGCUGAAGGAGGAAGCGAGGGAAAGGACUCUGGUUCCCGAUUAGCUCAGGCACCUCACAGAAGAAACAGUGACAGCUGGUUCAAUGUCACUCUCUGUGUCUCUGCCCCACCCUCCCCACUACCCGGGGUUCUCGGGCCUCCAGCAACUGGAAGGGACAAGUAUUUCCUUCUCUCUAGUAGGCACCAAGGAGGCAAGCACAGUGAAAACAAAAAGGAGAGCUUUAAAUGGUGAGGCAGAAAAUUUGGGCCCUGGAGUGGGAUGAGAAGGUCCUCCCAGCCCUGACUCCUGAUGGCAGAGCACAGCUGGACCAAUAGUCAAAAGUACAGUGUCUCCAGAGCUGGAACCCUUCCUGACUUCUCCUGGUAGGUAUCCUCUGGCCUGGGAUUGGGGGAAAUGUGGAACUUCUUUGUGGGCUUUCAACCUCACUCUUCUCCAGUAGGGUCUUGGUCUCCCAUGUUCAUUUAGCCAACUAGAGGUUACAGCCUGUUUCAGCUAAGGGGAAGCCUGGGAGGUCUGGGGGUGGGAAAGGCUGUUUUUGAUGGGAUUCAGCCACCAAGACUGUUUCCUUGAGCAGCAGAUAGUUUCAUUUAAUGAAUUUGGACAAUUCACGAGAUCUACCCACACACUACCUCUCAGCUUCUGAACGACUUCCAAAAUAACCCCCAGCCAUUUGCAAGAGCCAAAAUGGGGGGAGACCAUCUCCGCCCUUUCACAUAAGUCUAUGCAAGCCUUUCCAAGGAAAUUUUCAAACAAAUCAACAACAAAAAACAAAUGCCAGUGUUUUUUUUUUCUUUCCCAUUAAGGACUCUGACAAACAAAGACAUCACAAGCACACACCUGUUCGAAGGACCCAGGCUGUAGCAAACGGGUGAGAUAUUAAAGAUAAAUCCAUGCACUUCUUCCCACACUGACACUGUUUACAGACACCACCUGAGCUAGCCUCAUUAGGGGCAUCAAAAAGCCACCCCUAUAUCAACCAAACUCCAUAGACCCAGGUCCACCCUCUAGGCACACAGCCCACUGGGAAGGAGACAAGUGCUACUGCCAUGUCAACAUAUACACGCAGUUGCAUAUGGUCACACAACACACACAGAGUUCCAGACAGUGCCCUCCUCGGUCUUUCUCAUACACGCAAUCCCAUACGGUUACAUGCACACAGCCUAAUAGAGCCACUCAUUUGUACACAUGCAGCCUCAGGGUACCCCAGUCUCACACACAGCCAUAGCCAACUCAUAGCGACGCAUAGAUGCGCGCACACACAUUACACAUGCACGCAGUGCCACAGCGCCACACUGCACCUUUUCGUCCCCUGGACCUGCUCUCAAGGCCUCCACGGAGAACUCCCUCCUCCACGGCCCUCCUAUAUGCCCUGCUUUGCAACCAGAUGUUCCGUGGGCAGACCCCUCUGUGGGCUGACAGGUGGUGAUUACUGUCGCCAGCCCCACAUUAGGAGAGAAUUGAAUGGGAGAGGCCCCCACCCGCCUCAGGCUCCCUACAAUAGCGCCUUUGUGAUGUGCCUUGCUGCCUUUCUUUCCUCUUCCUCACCAACCUACGUCAGGAGCAGCUCUGCCUGUGGAGAGAAGAAAGACAGACAAAAGGAGGAGUGCUGACUGAUCCACCCCAUCCUGGGGUGGAAGGAGGGAGGGCUCUACUUGGGAGAGAAGGCUGUGUUCCUGUCCCCCUUCCUCCCCGGGUAAUAACCCCGAGGGCUGCCUGAGGUAAACUCCCCCACUGAACCCAGGGCUUUUAUCCAUCAGCAAGCCUCAUACGACUGUGAGCUGAACAUGGAGAUGAGGCCUGGGAAGGGACAUUAUGCAGAGACCAGCAGGUUCUCAGAGAUGGAGUCCAAAGCCUAUCGCUCCUCCAAUCCUUCCUGGAUUGGCCCCUGCAGUCCGGUGCACAAGGUUAGGCUGUUAGACCAGCAGGGGUUAAGUUUCCAGGACUCCAGCUUCCAGGACUGGGGUAGGAGGGUGGGCAGCUGAGGGUGGAGAGAAGGAAAGUAGGGAUGUGUUAGGGAACUGGUGAGACCAACAUCUGGGAUGGUCACUGCCCCUCCUCCCUGCCCAAACCGCAGACACUGUGGCAGCAGGAAAAUCGGAGCGGCUCAGACCAAGGAUUGUGCAACCCAGACCCAGGAAGAGUCAGUGCUGGAGGUGGGAGCGAGGACCUGGGCUCAGAGACAGAAUCCUCUUCAGAGAGCCCUGACAACUAGCUGCACCUAUAGACGUGGAAUCAUCCCGGGCGGUCGAGAAGAGAAACAAGUCCCUCACCUCUAAGGCAGCUAGUCGGCGUUCCAUGUACUCCACAAGGUGGUGCUGCUGUCCCUGAAGGGGUCCCGGCCAUGACAAAAGGAAGAAGAGGAGCAGAGGAGCACUGGGCCCCAUGGCAGCCUUAA
rnacentral:sRNA from 1 species